rnacentral:rRNA from 1 species
AUGGGAGCGCGCUUCUGCCCCCCGUCGCGGCGCUCCCCCUCGCCGACCACGUCGAGAGUACACCUACCGGUCUCAGUGUCCACCUCAAACGCCCUGAUCCACCACAAGGACACCCUAAUCCACAAGGCCAUCCCGGUGCCCACGCCCGACGGCAGGGCGAUGGUGGUCGUCAUCUACUUCCAGCCGCACCGCCAACAGUGGGCCACGGAUCGACCCGGCAAGAGCACCUGGAAAUCUGUGAGGCUGAGCAACAUCCCGGCCGUGCUGGACCUGGUGCUCCACCGCGGGCAGCUCUACGCCAACACCAGCUUCGGGAUUGUGUACGUCUUCCUGGAGCUGCACGGGCUGGGCUCCGCGCCCGAUAUCAUCCCGUCCGUGACGUGGAGGCCAACCUCGCGCGUGGAGAGCAACUUCCUCGUGCAGACCCCCGGCGGUGGGGCGCUGAUCCAAGUGGAGCUCGUCGAAGCGGCCGGGGGUGAGGAGUUCAUGGUUUGCGUGCUGGACGAGUGCGGUGGGACGUAGGAGGAGGAUGACGACAUCGGCAAUGUUGCGGUGCCCAUGGACGCGUCCGGCACGGUGGCUGUGUCCAUGAAGGAGUGCCCCAGGCUGAGGCCCAGCACCGUCUACUAUAGGGACCUCAACAGUGGUGAGACACGGGUUCGGGCGUAUAGCCUCGCCGGCAAGCACAAGAAGGUCGAGGUCGUCGAGUCCCUCUCCAGGGCGGAUGGAAACAAGCGGCCAUGCUUCUGGUUCACGCCGCUCUAUUCAUAG